GACAGAGCAUGUUACAGCCACAAUAGGAGAAAAAAACCUUCUCAGGCUGGAGCAGUGGAAAGAGAACUAUGCACAAGGAUGAGGAGAAUAAUUGUGAUUGUGGGACAGGGCCCCAGGAGAGAGGUAUAGCAGACUGGCCUUGGAAAGCCUGCAGCUGCAUCAGGAAGGCAAAGCAUGCUUGGAAAAAAUGCUGACUGAAGUAAGGCAGAACCUAGAGGGUGGGUGGAUACUCCAUAACUGUAUUCAAAUUGGGCACUCUCUUGUUGUAAAGCCUUUGCGUAAGUGCAACUGAGAAAAUAUAUGGUAGAAAAAAAAGGCUAUGUUCUGACCAGCUCGAGGAUGGGGGAAUAUCAUGCAUAAUAUGUGCAAACUAUGUGAAGAAAAGUACAAGUUAAUAUGAUCACAAAAAUAUUCAGAAAAACACAGAGUGAAGGAGGUAAGACAAGAGGUAAUGAAAUAAUUAGUGAAGUAUGGGCUCCUGUGCAAGGGAAUAUCUUGAGACAGAUUUUUGAAGAGAAGUUAGAUGUGGGCUGAUGAAGAGGAACUGUCACUCCACAUUGAGGGAGUGGUCUCUGCAAAGGUGGUAGCUUAGCUUGGGUUUGAGCUCUGGUUAUAGGAAAUUUAAAUGGUUACUCAGUUACACUGAACAUCUCCAGAGAGAUUCAUGAAUUCACGGCACCUUAGAAAAAUUCUUUGGUGGAAAGAAGGGCAAACAAUCUAUCUACUGGCUUCUUUCCAUCUCCUGUUUCUCAUGCUUACUUGACCUAACAAAGUGUUAACUUGCACAUCUUCCCUCCAGACAGCUGCUGGGUUAGUAACUAACUCCAACUUAGUUACUGGAGCUGCUGCUGUUUCUGCUGUGAUGAGAGGGAAAGCCUUCUGUAUCCCUGCACACUUUAAGCAGGUAAAUGUUAGAUUGCUGCAUCAGCUCCUGGACUCUGCAUAACUUCUGAUGUCCUUCUGGUAAACCUUGAUCCCUUAUUGCAUCAUGUGACCUCCUCUCCCCCAGCUCUAGCUCUGCCUAGCCGG
rnacentral:lncRNA from 10 species